UUCCUGGUGGACUAGUGGUUAGGCCACAGCACUCUCACCGCUGCGGCCCAGGCUCGAUUCCCGGCCAGGGAG